rfam:Triticum urartu cultivar G1812 contig447030, whole genome shotgun sequence.
UUCAUACUCCCUCCGUCCGGAAAUACUUGUCGUAGAAAUGGAUAUAAAUAGAUGUAUCUAAAACUAAAAUACAUCUAGAUACAUCCAUUCCUCGGACAAGUAUUUCUGGACGGAGGGAGUACAUG